GUUAGGUUAGCGUUGAACAGAAAAAUUGGUGGUCGAGUUGAGGCAUAACCACUCGCGACUCGCGAUUCUAACACAGCCGAUCCCUCGUCUCGUUCUUCCCACACUCGUCAAUUUCUUUCCUUUCUCCAUUUUCCCUCCAAUCUUUGCCCUAAGAAAAGCUCCACAAUUUCUUUUCUAAAUUUUCGAUUUUCAAAAUCAAAUGCCAAUCAUUUUGUGGCAAAUUUAUCUAUUGGGUCUUCGAUUCGAUUCUCUGAUUAUAAGUUCUUCCCCACGCCUCAUCAGGUAUGCAAAGAAACUGUAUUUCUUUCGCUUUCUCUUAAUUAUAUCAAAAUCCAGUCUCUAUUAUUCUGCUAUUGCAAUUGAUUGUUAACCAUUUUCCCACGAUAAAAGUUACCAACUUUUUCUCUUCCUUUUAAUGUUAGAAGCUAACUGGUUAGGAUACAAUCUGCUGCUUUCAAUAAUUCAAUUUUACCUGAGAAUCAGAAUUCUAAACCAAUUGAAUUUGCACCAAAUGUCUAUAAAUUUGUGUUGGCCAUCAAUUUCUUCAUGUUUGACGCACAUUAUGUAACAUAACAUUUGCCUACCAACUUCAACACAAGGAACUACUUCUCAACAACUUUUGCUGGCCUUUCUCUUGAGUGGUGAUGAUUAUGCUCAAAUACUUAAUGCAGCAAACUCUCCUGAAUGGUUGAACUGAUGGCCCCACUCCGCUCCUCUGGAAUUGUUGAUCCGGGAUGGGAGCAUGGUGUUGCUCAAGAUGAGAGGAAGAAGAAGGUCAAAUGCAACUAUUGU
rnacentral:misc_RNA from 1 species